rnacentral:rRNA from 1 species
GCAGUCGAACGGGAUCCUGCGGGCUUUGCUUGCGGGUGAGAGUGGCGAACGGGUGAGUAAUGCGUGACCAACCUGCCCCAUGCUCCGGAAUAGCUCCUGGAAACGGGUGGUAAUGCCGGAUGCUCCCGCGCCCCGCAUGGGGUGUGGGGAAAGCUUUCGUGGCAUGGGAUGGGGUCGCGUCCUAUCAGCUUGUUGGCGGGGUGAGGGCCCACCAAGGCGUUGACGGGUAGCCGGCCUGAGAGGGCGACCGGCCACAUUGGGACUGAGAUACGGCCCAGACUCCUACGGGAGGCAGCAGUGGGGAAUAUUGCACAAUGGGCGCAAGCCUGAUGCAGCGACGCCGCGUGCGGGAUGGAGGCCUUCGGGUUGUAAACCGCUUUUGUUUGGGAGCAAGCCCUUCGGGGUGAGUGUACCUUUCGAAUAAGCACCGGCUAACUACGUGCCAGCAGCCGCGGUAAUACGUAGGGUGCGAGCGUUAUCCGGAAUUAUUGGGCGUAAAGGGCUCGUAGGCGGUUCGUCGCGUCCGGUGUGAAAGUCCAUCGCUUAACGGUGGAUCCGCGUCGGGUACGGGCGGGCUGGAGUGCGGUAGGGGAGACUGGAAUUCCCGGUGUAACGGUGGAAUGUGUAGAUAUCGGGAAGAACACCAAUGGCGAAGGCAGGUCUCUGGGC